rnacentral:rRNA from 1 species
CCUACGGGGGGCUGCAGUGGGGAAUUUUGGACAAUGGGGGCAACCCUGAUCCAGCCAUGCCGCGUGCGGGAAGAAGGCCUUCGGGUUGUAAACCGCUUUCGGCCGGAACGAAAUCGCCGGGGAGAACAUCCCCGGUGGAUGACGGUACCGGAAGAAGAAGCACCGGCUAACUACGUGCCAGCAGCCGCGGUAAUACGUAGGGUACGUGCUGGGCUCGGAGCUACUGGGCGUAGUGCGUUAGCACAGGGUUGAAAUCCCCGGGCUUAACCUGGGAACUGCGUUUGUGACUGGCGGGCUGGAGUGCGGAAGAGGGAGGUGGAAUUCCACGUGUAGCAGUGAAAUGCGUAGAGAUGUGGAGGAACACCGAUGGCGAAGGCAGCCUCCUGGUCUAGCACUGACGCUCAUGCACGAAAGCGUGGGGAGCAAACAGGAUUAGAUACCCCAGUAGUC